rnacentral:rRNA from 1 species
CUGACACUGAGGAACGAAAGCAUGGGUAGCGAAGAGGAUUAGAUACCCUCGUAGUCCAUGCCGUAAACGAUGUGUGUUAGAUGUUGGAAAUUUAUUUUCAGUAUCGCAGCGAAAGCAAUAAACACACCGCCUGGGGAGUACGACCGCAAGGUUAAAACUCAAAUGAAUUGACGGGGACCCGCACAAGUAGUGGAGCAUGUGGUUUAAUUCGAAGAUACGCGCAGAACCUUACCAACACUUGACAUGUUCGUCGCGACUCUAAGAGAUUAGAGUUUUCGGUUCGGCCGGACGAAACACAGGUGCUGCAUGGCUGUCGUCAGCUCGUGUCGUGAGAUGUUGGGUUAAGUCCCGCAACGAGCGCAACCCUUACUUUUAGUUGCCACCAUUUAGUUGGGCACUCUGAAAGAACUGCCAGUGAUAAGCUGGAGGAAGGUGGGGAUGACGUCAAGUCCUCAUGGCCCUUACGUGUUGGGCUACACACGUGCUACAAUGGCAUUUACAAUAGGAAGCAAGACGGCGACGUUAAGCAAAUCCUAAAAAAAUGCCUCAGUUCGGAUUGUACUCUGCAACUCGAGUACAUGAAGCUGGAAUUACUAGUAAUCGCGGAUCAGCGCGCCGCGGUGAAUGCGUUCCCGGGUCUUGUACACACCGCCCGUCACACCAUGGGAGUUGGUUCUACCUUAAGGCAAAGUUUAAAACCUUUGACCACGGUAUAGUCAGCGACUGGGGUGAAGUCGUAACAAGGUAGCCGUAGGGGAACCUGCGGCUG